rnacentral:rRNA from 1 species
CCUGGUGGCCAUAGCGGAGGGGCAACACCCGGCUUCCAUUCCGAACCCGGCAGUUAAGCCCUCUGCGCCUAUGAUACUGGCCGGGAGACCGGUCGGGAAAGUUGGUCGCUGCCAGGG